UACGGAGGGAGCUAGCGUUGUUCGGAAUUACUGGGCGUAAAGCGCACGUAGGCGGCGAUUUAAGUCAGGGGUGAAAGCCCGGUGCUCAACACCGGAACUGCCUUUGAUACUGGCAAUCUAGAGUCCGGAAGAGGUGAGUGGAACUCCUAGUGUAGAGGUGGAAUUCGUAGAUAUUAGGAAGAACACCAGUGGCGAAGGCGGCUCACUGGUCCGGUACUGACGCUGAGGUGCGAAAGCGUGGGGAGCAAACAGG
rnacentral:rRNA from 1 species